UACGUAGGGUGCAGGCGUUAAUCGGAAUUACUGGGCGUAAAGCGUGCGCAGGCGGUCUGCUAAGAGAGAUGUGAAAUCCCCGGGCUUAACCUGGGAACUGCGUUUCUAACUGGCAGGCUUGAGUGUGGCAGAGGGGGGUGGAAUUCCACGUGUAGCAGUGAAAUGCGUAGGGAUGUGGAGGAACACCGAUGGCGAAGGCAGCCCCCUGGGCUAACACUGACGCUCAUGCACGAAAGCGUGGGGAGCAAACAGG
rnacentral:rRNA from 1 species